rnacentral:tRNA from 1 species
GCCCCCGUAGCUCAGGGGAUAGAGCAUCGGCCUCCGGAGCCGUGUGCGCAGGUUCGAAUCCUGCCGGGGGUG